CUAUGAGAGAAAUGUCACAUACUUUUAUACAGUGAUAUAGGAAAAACGGUUGUUUGCUAUGAGAGAAAUGUCACAUACUUUUAUAUAGUGAUAUAGGAAAAGUGGUUGUUUCCUAUGAGAGAAAUGCACAUACUUUUAUAUAGUGAUAUAAGAAAACAGUUGUUUUCUAUGAGAGAAAUGUCACACACUUUUAUAUAGUUAAAAAUAUCACAUACCCUAACAAGUCACAUUUAUGAUGGACCGGACCAAAAUAUCAUUGAGUUUGAAUAAUCAUAAGAGAUGCAUACAAAUAAUGGUUCCUAAUAUAUUUGUUGUGCAUGAUAAUACAAAAGUAAUGUUUAUAUAUUAUUUAUUUAUUUAUGUACUGUAUGAGGGAGAUAAAGAUUGAUUAUGUCAACGUUGAAAAAUAAUGCACCAAACAAGGGUGUUGGGACGAUGUCGUUGAAAGAGGUCAAAGAACCAUCGAGUUUUAUAGUACAAUAAAAGGCACGUGUCAACUUGCUUCAUCCUCAAGGUAUAUACGAUCAACAAGAUUAAUUGAUUGAUUUCCAUAUAAUCAUGAUUCAGAAGAUAGGAGCACUAGCUCUUUCAAUAUCUAUAGAAAACAAUACAAAUUGUUCCUUUGUACUACAUGUUUCUACUUUGUUAAAUAAUCAUAGGCAAUAUUAUGUUGCUAGAUGCAGGGUUUCAUGAUCACUUUUGACCUGAUAUGCAUCAUAUGUCCUACAAACUAGGAAUAAUUUGGGUGUGUCUGCUUGGCCUCAAUAUGUUACAACACAAAAAAUGUUCAUCAUUUUCAUGAUGGCAGACAGGACAUAUGUUUCAUCAUCUCACUGAUCUCUAGAGGAAGGAAUAGAUCUUGUGUGAAGCAAAGAAGUGCUUUAGAAGAAAAGAAAAAUGACAUAAAAAUGUUUUCCCAAUAUUGCUUCCACCAUUUUGUAACCCUUUCAAGAAUGUUCCGGGGAGGUUCACAACAUUGUCUACUCAUUUGAUUGGAAAUCUGUAUCUGUUCUCUAUCGUGUCACUAUGAAACUACGUAGAGGUACCCUUUUCCUAGGAGUUAUAUGUGGUUCAGUUUUUUGUAUCUCGUUUGGUAUUACGCUCAUCUUGCUUGCUCAGUUUUUUAGUGUAUAACCAGUUUGUUAAUCCUAUUUGAUCUGUUGACGCGAUUGAUGGGGGCAUGGAGAUGAUGACGAGGCAUCAUGCUGCACUGGAGGCGGUGAAGGUGUCCUCGUCGACGGAGGAGGCGAUGAGUGGUUGUCGACGGAAGCGGCGUGGGGAUGAGGGAGGCGGAGAGGCAAGGGAUUGAGGCAGAGAAAUGCAGCCGCAGAGACGGAGUGACGACAAGAUUGGACGCGCUCGCCUGCGUAGUGCCUCGGCAAGAUUUCCUUUUCAGGAUUCUAUGGAUUUUAUCCCAUAACCUCUCGAAGUGACGCAAUGCUGCAAUCUUCAACCAUGAAAAUAAAACUGUCAUCACUGAUAGACUGCUCCUAUGAUCUCAGAGACUAUUUAUAUGGUGAUGGCUGCAACAUAACCAUCAGUUGAAGUACAUAUGUACAAGGCUAUGACUCGUGCUGCCGUUCUGGCACGCAAUUAUCUAAAAUUUUGAACGUUGGAUUCUUCAAUACCACUCUGAUCCAGUCAUCGAUGUGAAGGUACAUUGAUCCAUAAUAUUUCUUGUUAUUUGCAUCUCAUAUGUUGCUUUGAAAAAAAAAUGAGAAACCUGACCAGAGAUGCUAGCAAUGAUUUAUGUUCAAAGAUGGAACAUAGAUUCGAGACUUGUGAAGGGAGAAGAGACAAAUAGUGAUGAACAAAAUUCCAAAUCCUUUUAUUAAAAAUAGUGAUGUAUGUCAUCCAUGAGGGUACUAUAUUUUUUGUUUGACACAUUUAAUAUGAGCCAGUAGAAUACUUAUGUCA